GACGAACGCUGGCGGCGUGCCUAAUACAUGCAAGUUGAGCGCUGAAGGUUGGUACUUGUACCGACUGGAUGAGCAGCGAACGGGUGAGUAACGCGUGGGGAAUCUGCCUUUGAGCGGGGGACAACAUUUGGAAACGAAUGCUAAUACCGCAUAAAAACUUUAAACACAAGUUUUAAGUUUGAAAGAUGCAAUUGCAUCACUCAAAGAUGAUCCCGCGUUGUAUUAGCUAGUUGGUGAGGUAAAGGCUCAACAAGGCGAUGAUACAUAGCCGACCUGGGAGGGUGAUCGGCCACCAUGGGACUGAGACACGGCCCAAACUCCUACGGGAGGCAGCAGUAGGGAAUCUUCGGCAAUGGGCGAAAGUCUGACCGAGCAACGCCGCGUGAGUGAAGAAGGUUUUCGGAUCGUAAAACUCUGUUGGUAGAGAAGAACGUUGGUGAGAGUGGAAAGCUCAUCAAGUGACGGUAACUACCCAGAAAGGGACGGCUAACUACGUG
rnacentral:rRNA from 1 species